rnacentral:rRNA from 1 species
UACGAAGGGGGCUAGCGUUGCUCGGAAUCACUGGGCGUAAAGGGUGCGGAGGCGGGUCUUUAAGUCAGGGGUGAAAUCCUGGAGCUCAACUCCAGAACUGCCUUUGAUACUGAGGAUCUUGAGUUCGGGAGAGGUGAGUGGAACUGCGAGUGUAGAGGUGAAAUUCGUAGAUAUUCGCAAGAACACCAGUGGCGAAGGCGGCUCACUGGCCCGAUACUGACGCUGAGGCACGAAAGCGUGGGGAGCAAACAGG